rnacentral:lncRNA from 10 species
GCAAGUAAGUCAGAAAGAAGCCCUGUGCUCCAACUCCUGGAAGAUGGGAGCCAGAGGAAAAGAAGCAGCCAAAGGAGCUGCCAGGCUGAAGCUGGGAAAGGACAGCACAGGCAGGAGGCCCCACAGGACAGGCCCUCAUGGGAAACUGCUCCCGCCUGGCCCCCAACAGCCUCGUGGAGCAGUCAAGGGAAAACAAGAAGACCAAAAAGUCCAAAAAACUGGAUUUUCUGCCUAGCCCUUCCAUUUCUAGCCAUACAACUUUAGAUAAGUUAACUCACUUUCUGGGCUUGGUUUCUUAUCUGCUUCAUGUGUGGGAAGUAGGUGGAGUGGGAAUGGGCUCCUUCUUUCUGAACCAGGCCUGUCUGAUCUGUCAUUACUCUGCUCUAAACCAUCCAGUGGUUUUCUGUAUCGCUCUCCGCCACAUGCCCUCAUCUUACUCCAGCUCUCUGACUUCAUCUUGCGUGGCUCUCCCCAUCACUCACUUUUCUCCCAUCAAGCUGUCCUUCUUGCUGAGGCCUCACUGCUGGGCCUUUGCAUUUGCUGUCCCCUUUGCC